rnacentral:rRNA from 1 species
UACGAAGGGGGCUAGCGUUGUUCGGAAUUACUGGGCGUAAAGCGCACGUAGGCGGGUUGUUAAGUCAGGGGUGAGAUCCUGGAGCUCAACUCCAGAACUGCCUUUGAUACUGGCAACCUAGAGACUGGAAGAGGUUAGUGGAAUUCCCAGUGUAGAGGUGAAAUUCGUAGAUAUUGGGAAGAACACCAGUGGCGAAGGCGGCUAACUGGUCCAGCACUGACGCUGAGGUGCGAAAGCGUGGGGAGCAAACAGG